UAGAUUUUCCUUUGAAACAUAUUAAACAUAUGAAGGAUAUUAAUGUAUAUGAAAUAUCUAAAAAUCAAGACGAAGCAAAAAUGGUAUUAGAAAUUGCUCUGGAAACAAUUGCAGAACAGGCAAAGAAAAUACAACGUUUGCAAAUUCAAAGAUGUAAACUAAAAAACCAAGUGCAGAGUUUGACUGAAUUAAAUAAACAAUUACAUGAUAAUAAUUUCUAAGAAUGCUUUAGAACUAGUGAAUUGGUUAGUCGCCGCGGCAGGCCGGGAAGUGGCCGAGAGCAAUGAAGAUGGACGUUCGAGAAUUGUGAUCUUACGCUCAAAC